CUUCGAGCUGAUUGGGCGUAACCGCAGCCCUACAGAUCUGAAGACAGUUUCCAAUUUCUGAUAGAGCUUGGAGAUCAUGAGGUUCCACUAGCUGGUGUCGGCAGGUGGCUGGUCUGCAGCGAGCAGUCAUGCAGAACUGGUACUUGGAGUCGAAACUAGGACAUGGAGCGCUGUAUUAUCUCCAUACAAAGGAAUGGCGUGACUUGGGUGAUUCAUUCACUCGGUGUCGAAGAUCCGCAUCAGCUUACAGGCUUCCUCGUGGCUUAUGACCCCCACUGCCACCCACGGGGUGUAAGUGGCUCCCAUCACGUCAAAGUCAACCUCACCUGCUCGUGGUACACCCUGCUAACCCACUAACGA